CCUACGGGAGGCAGCAGUGGGGAAUAUUGGACAAUGGGGGCAAGCCUGAUCCAGCCAUGCCGCGUGAGUGAUGAAGGCCCUAGGGUUGUAAAGCUCUUUUGUGCGGGAAGAUAAUGACGGUACCGCAAGAAUAAGCCCCGGCUAACUUCGUGCCAGCAGCCGCGGUAAU
rnacentral:rRNA from 1 species